CGCACAUUGCGCCCGCCAGCAUUCUGGCGGGCAUGCCUGUUCGAGCGUCAUUACAACCCUCGAGCCCCUCUUUCCCCUUCCGGGGGGACAAGGGGCGGCCCGGUGUUGGGGGACGGCCCGCCCUCGUGGCAGGCCGCCUCCGAAAUGAAUCGGCGGCAACGGCGUCCGCCUCCCCUGCGUAGUAGCACAGCAUCUCGCAGUGGGAGCGCGCCGCGGCCACUGCCGUAAAACGCACAACCUUUUAAAAGUUGACCUCGGAUCAGGUAGGAAUACCCGCUGAACUUAA
rnacentral:misc_RNA from 1 species